AUCUCUUUCUGUGGUUAGUGUUCUGAUGUCCCGAAAUAAAUAAUCUUUGAAGUAAUUCUUGAUUCUUAGAUCAACUAGAGAACUCUCAGGAAACUUCCUCAAUUCCCACCAAAAAUAAUUAUAUAGUUAUCUUUGGGCGAUCUUGAAUCUUAAUUAGUACACUCAUGUUCCCUGUGGAAAAUCGAUACUCUGGAAUACUCCCGGGU
rnacentral:lncRNA from 1 species